UUAAAGAAAAAUAGCUUUUAUUACUUCUGAUGUCAAGCAGUAUUUAAAUUACACAGUUCUAAGCUUUCGACCAUUUGCGAAGGUAUUUUCUAAUGCCAAAAUGCUUUUGUAUUUGCGAUCACUUGAUGCAUAACGAGGAAAUAUCUUUGUUUUUUCUAGACAUUUUAAUCAAAUGCCUGCAAAAAAAUUAUAUCAAGGCAAUUAAAAGAACACCUCACCACAAGGUGUAUGUGGUAAGACAUUUCAAAACAAACAAUGUCAAGAAAAAAGAACACUUCAAAAUACGUUUUAUGCACGCAGCCUGCCGUGGACGAUGUCUAGAACGAGGUAGGCCUAUCUUAGAAUUUGGCACAGGGCCCCUGAUUUUGCCGGCCCGGCCCUGACGACGAUGCAGUGUGCGGCAGUGCGCAGCACGAGAAGUAUGGCGGCAUGGAGGUGCAGCAAGGCAGGCGCACACCACGACGGGGAGCAGGACCGUGCCGUGGAGGCGACGACCACACCAAACAACCAUCCGUCAAGGUGAGUUUCUUGUUCCUG
rnacentral:lncRNA from 1 species